rnacentral:miRNA from 1 species
UGGAUAGAAAGGAAGUA